rnacentral:rRNA from 1 species
AUUGAACGCUGGCGGCAGGCCUAACACAUGCAAGUCGAGCGGCAGCAGGGAGCUUCUUCCUGUCUUCAGCGGCGGACGGGGACGUAAGGGCAAGAAAUCGGCCUCUACGUUUUGGAUAAGGUCCACAAAGGGGAACUAAUACCACAUACGCACUCAGCGUGCAGGUGGGGGCAGUUCACCUCUCACCCUUUCACGUGUACCUAGGUCGGAUUCGCUAGUUGGAGGGGUAAAGGCCUACCAAGGCGACGAUCCGUAACUGGUCUGAGAGGAUGAGCAGUCACACUGGAACUGAGACACGGUCCAGACUCCUACGGGAGGCAGCAGUGGGGAAUAUUGGACAAUGGGCGAAAGCCUGAUCCAGCCAUGCCGCGUGUGUGAAGAAGGUCUUCGGAUUGUAAAGCACUUUAAUUGGGGAGGAAGGGCAGUAAGUUAAUACCUUGCUGUUUUGACGUUACCAACAGAAUAAGCACCGGCUAACUUCGUG